rnacentral:tmRNA from 1 species
GGGGCGGAUUUAGGAUUCGACGGGAUUCACGAAACCCAAGGUGCAUGUCCAGGGGCGGUUGGCCUGGUAAAAAGCCGCAAAACUAUAGUUGCAAACGACGAAACGUUCGCACUAGCAGCUUAAUGCUAGCCAUCCUCUCAACGCUUGGUCUGUUGGCGUGAGAAGCGAUGGUCACCCUAAAUAGACUAGCGAGGGAAACUUGUCUGAGGUUGAACCGCGAAACAGUAUCAGACUCACUAGAAAGUAGCCUGUCGUUCGGCGACUGACUAGUUAAAUAAAAGAUCGACUAAGCAUGUAGGACCGAGGAUGUAGGUUUUUCGGACGGGGGUUCAACUCCCCCCCGCUCCACCA